rnacentral:rRNA from 1 species
AUGAGGAUCCGGAGGCGGCCGCAGGCGCAGCAGCAGCAGGCACUGCCGCCCUACCCGCUGCCCUCAGAUCCGUUCACCGCGCCCCACCCACCGCCACCGCCACCGCCGAACGCGGAGGAGCGACACUGGCUGCCUCUCCCGGGGGACGAGGCCGAGCAGGGGAAGAAGAGGAGGAUCGAGUCGGAGGUGGAGUUACACCCGCUCCGCCCAGACGCGGAUCCCGGCCCGGCCGCAUUGCCGUCAGGGCCGCAGGUCGGCAACGUGGUGGUGGCGGGACGCAGCAGCAGCGACGACGACGACCCACCGGUUCACAACCACGGCGGCGGUGCGCAACGUCAGGGGGCAGCUGGCCGCACCCACGAGAGCCUAGAGAAUGGACACUGCAACGAGUCUGAGCGGCCGGUGAUCGGUUCCGGAGAACGUCUCGUCAUCCCGGCAAUGCCAGUGGUCCCCGUAAACGUGAAGGAAGGGAUCAAGAUCGGUGGCGGCGCCAAGAAGAGGCAGCGCGGCCCGCCGGUGCUGAUGGAAGGGUCGCGGUGCAGCCGCGUCAACGGGCGCGGGUGGCGCUGCAGCCAGCCCACGCUGGUCGGCUACUCCCUCUGCGAGCACCACCUCGGCAAGGGCCGCGGGCAGCGGAGCGCGAGCCGCACCGAGCCCGGCAGCUGGAAGAACGGCGCGGCCACGCUCGGCCGCACUGAGCCCAGCAUCAGGAAGAAGGCCGCGCAGCCGCCUGUUCCCAUGGUCACCGCGGUGCCCACCGCCAACGGCCGCGCCGGCGCGCCCAAGCUCGGCCGCACCGAUCCGGCCAGCAGCAGGAAGAACGUGGACGCGCUGGCUAUGGUCGCCGCCGCGGCGCGCGAAGGCAGCGACCUGCCGAGCCUGCGUGCAGCACCUCUAGCGGCGGAGGUCGAUUGA